UAGGGAAUCUUGCGCAAUGGGGGAAACCCUGACGCAGCGAUGCCGCGUGAGUGAGGAAGGCCUUCGGGUUGUAAAGCUCUGUUCUGCGGGAAAAACGGUGGGCGGAUGAAUAAUCCGGCCAAGUGAUGGUACUGCAGGAGAAAGCACCGGCUAACUUCGUGCCAGCAGCCGCGGUAAUACGAAGGGUGCAAGCGUUGUUCGGAAUUAUUGGGCGUAAAGGGCGAGUAGGCGGACGAAGAAGUCAGAUGUGAAAUCUCGGGGCUCAACCCCGAAACUGCGUCUGAAACUUUUUGUCUAGAAUUUCGAAGAGGGAAGGGGAAUUUCGCAUGUAGGAGUAAAAUCCGUAGAGAUGCGAAGGAACACCAGAGGCGAAGGCGCCUUCCUGGGAGAACAUUGACGCUGAGGCGCGAAAGCGUGGGGAGCAAACAGG
rnacentral:rRNA from 1 species